rnacentral:rRNA from 1 species
CCCUUAGAUGUUCUGGGCCGCACGCGCGCUACACUGAUGCGUUCAACAAGUUUCCUUGGCCGAGAGGCCUGGGCAAUCUUCUUAAUAUGUAUCGUGAUAGGGAUAGAUUAUUGCAAUUAUUAAUCUUGAACGAGGAAUUCCUAGUAAACGCAGAUCAUCAAUCUGCAUUGAUUACGUCCCUGCCCUUUGUACACACCGCCCGUCGCACCUACCGAUUGGAUGUUCCGGUGAAGCCUCGGGAUGAGGACUGGUGCCUUUAUUGGCAUGAGUUGUUCAGAACUUGUCUAAACCUUAUCAUCUAGAGGAAGGUGAAGUCGCAACA